rnacentral:rRNA from 2 species
GUAGGGAAUUUUCGUCAAUGGGCGCAAGCCUGAACGAGCAAUGCCGCGUGAACGAGGAAGGUCUUCGGAUCGUAAAGUUCUGUUGAAGGGGAAAAAGAGCGGAGAGAGGAAAUGGUCUCCGAUUGAUAUUACCCUUCGAGGAAGUCACGGCUAACUACGUGCCAGCAGCCGCGGUAAUACGUAGGUGGCGAGCGUUAUCCGGAAUGAUUGGGCGUAAAGGGUGCGUAGGCGGCCUGCUAAGUCUGGAGUGAAAGGUACCGGCUCAACCGGUACAGGCUCUGGAAACUGGCGGGCUAGAGAGCAGGAGAGGGCGGUGGAACUCCAUGUGUAGCGGUAAAAUGCGUAGAUAUAUGGAAGAACACCAGUGGCGAAGGCGGCCGCCUGGCCUGUUACUGACGCUGAGGCACGAAAGCGUGGGGAGCAAAUAGG